rnacentral:lncRNA from 1 species
GUGGGAAGCAAAUCUGGAGCAGCAGGAACAGGACCAGGGAUCUGUAGAAGAGAUCUUCACAGUUCACUCGAAAAAAAUAGCAGAGGGGAAGAAAAAAGCCCUGAAACCAUUUACAUCAUUUCUGUGAGAUUGCCAACCGCCUCAACGGAGAGGCUUUCUUUUCUAAGAGUUCAUUUUCUUGAAAUACGACAAGGCAGGGGCAAAAUAAAGAGGGCGAUGAAGAUAAUGACAAAGCAUAAACCUUCUUUCCCUUGGAGCGACUUCCGAAUCAGCCGGAAGGACAACUUUUAGAAAGAAACAUCGGAUACAAGGGCCCCGAACACGCAGGCGGAGGAGAAUCCGCGGUGCAGAAAAAGAGGGCCUCGGUGGCCGGGCAGGGAUGAAGCCGGACCCGGGAGGGCUGCGAUCCCGGAGCUUCUGGCCAGGGGAGGAAAGCACCCCCUUGCUCCAGUUUGCAGAGGUUUAUUUUCCCUCUCGGGGUGGUUACUUUGCCGGCUAUUGCUCGCGAAAUUGCUUGGCGCUCACCCUUAGCGCGCAGAAGAGGCGGUGGGGUCCGCGGAGACCUUACAGCCCGCGAGCCGAGCCGAGAGCCGACCCCGAUCCCAGCGCCUAGCUGCUGAGGUGGGAGAGGUUGUCCAUGCCCCAGGAGACCACACGUCUCCCUCUCGCCCUUUUACUGGACAGUUUGGAAGCGGCACAUUCGGGGAGAGCUGGUUUCUUACCCUUAAUCUUUGUGAGCAAGUGGACAGUCUAGGGGCCCCAUCCAGGAAAUGGGAAUAUUUAUCCCAUGGCCCAUUUCUUGGAUAAUAGUUCUGCAAAUAAUUAGAUGAGGGCGCUUUAGCUUCUGCGUGUCUGAGGCUCGCGGGCAACUGGAACUGAGAGUCUGAGUUGGCCUCGCGGGAGCCGCCAGAAGGGUGCGGGCUGCGUGUGGCAGAGUAGGAGCACUGUCUGGUGGCUUGGCAGGAAGGGACUGAGAAGUGCCUGGAGGUUGGGGACUACUAUCAGGAGAUCCAUCUUCGCCAUCGCAAGGGACUUGAUUUAAUUUUAUUAACCCAAAGGAAAUAGACUGCGCCAGGGCACCUUGGAAUCACUUAUUUGUUCACCAGCUUCACAAGGGGAAGGGACGAACAGGAAGAAGUAUGUGAGCCGAGCCCCCUGGGAAAGAGGGAAGCUCCACGGGAUUCCUUAGGAAUAACCCUCUUUUGGGGAAGGCGGUGACCCUCACCCCACCUUUAAGGUGUACUUCUCCCAAGUUUGCCAGACGAAAGCUGUGACUUCGGGCUGGCUUUUCUUAAUUUUACAGAAGGGUAUAUAUUUUUUUCUUUUACCAGUUUUGAGGUUUUGUGCCAACCCUCCAGGCAACCCCUCACUUCUUAUCCCACAUUUCAUUUUUCUUUUGCAUUUGACCGGGAAAUCGAGAAAGUACAGUGGCAGCCCUUGGCCUUGGGCCUGUCUGGGUGGUUUUGCAGCUUGCUACUGGUGGUUUGCAGCUAGUAGAUUGGGACAUGAGGUCUUGGACAAAGGCUCGGGUCUUGCCGGGAAUCCAUAGACGUCUACUCAGCUUUCUCUAGAGUUGCAUUUUGUGGGGCAAAUAUGGAGAAAAAAAUCAUGUAGAAGAUGAUGUCCAAGGGCUGGUUUUGUAGCUAACUGUUUCGUGCUGGAUUUAGGCAAAGUGCCCCCAGGGAAUUCUGAGGCUCAUGCCGGAAAUAUCUGGAGUUCAGUGUGGGACUUCUGCACAUAUGGGGAUCUCACUCCUCGCUCUGCCCCUACUGAUUUUCCUCUCUAGAGUAGAGGACAGGUGGAAUCCUGGUCACACCCUGCUCACAUUUGCCAGAGGAGAGCAGUGCUUAGAAGUCAAUACUUUCCUACCUCUGGGUUCCAAUCUUAUCUUUUCUUUGACUUUUCCUAAGUCAAAUGUCUUUUUUAAAAUGUUGUGUUUUUGUUUUUUUCUCACACAAUUUCACAUAAUCAGCUAUUUUAAGAAUGCGGUAAUUGAAUCCAUCUGAAUUCCUUGAUAAAGACAUUUGUGCUGCAUCUGAGAGUCACAGACUGGAAGACAAUGAGGUCCCCAGUCUUUUGUGUGAUUUGGACUUUGGAAGAGAUCUUGGUUUCCCUUUCCUGUGUCUCAAAGCCGAGUGUUGGUGGUGACAACUGGCUUUUAGUUUUAUAACUCUACUUCUAAAAAAGUAUAAAAUAAUCUAGAAAGUUUUAAAAGGCAUUUUUCCGAGUUUGAAAUUACACUAUUAAAAAUUUACACUUUCAAACAUUUAUUUAUUUG